AUGUGACAGCUCUAAAGUCUCUCUGAAUCUCUUGUAUUUAUGGGACUUGCCAGAUUCUCAAAUUGUUUUUUCUUUUAUUUUUUUCUUGCUAGAGGUCUUAGUCCCAGAGGGAGGAAUGCUGCCACCAAGAGACACAACAACGAUUCCAUUAAACUGGAAGUUAAGAUUGCCACCUGGACACUUCGUGCUCCUCCUACCUUCAAGUCAACAGGCUAAGAAAGGAGUUACAGUGUUGGCUGUGGUGAUUGACUUGGACUAUCAAGAUGAAAUCAGUCUACUACUGCACAACAGAGACAAAACCACAGUCAACAUGAAUUCCAAGUGGUAACACUUAGUGUCCUGGGAUGGAGUGCUGAGAGAAAUCCGGAGGAUUCAGAGAAGAUGACCAAAAAGGACUACUUCACAGGGCUCCCAUGUGCUCAGCUUGCAAUUGGAUUCAGCCACCAGAGAUCCCUGGCAAGAGAAUAAAGGACUUAAAAGACUAUGACACUUUCUUUUGGCCUCCAUCAUUUCUGAUAAGAAAUUCACUGUCUUUCAAAUUAUUUGCUCUCACAG
rnacentral:lncRNA from 1 species